GCUUACGGCCAUACCUCUCUUGCUCCGGCCUGAUCUCGUCUGAUCUCAGAAAGCUAAGCAGAGUAGAGCCUGGUUAGUACUUAGAUGGAAGACCGCCUGGGAAUCCCAGGUGCCGUAAGCU
ensembl:rRNA 5S_rRNA 5S ribosomal RNA